rnacentral:rRNA from 1 species
CCGCACGCGCGCUACACUGACAGAGCCAACGAGUUUCUUCCUUGUCCGAAAGGUCUGGGUAAUCUUGUUAAACUCUGUCGUCGUGGGGAUAGAGCAUUGCAAUUAUUGCUCUUCAACGAGGAAUUCCUAGUAAGCGCAAGUCAUCAGCUUGCGCUGAUUACGU